rnacentral:tRNA from 1 species
AAACUCAUCGUUUAAUGGAUAAGACCAGAAGCUUCUACCUUCUUAAUAUGAGUUCGAGUCUCAUUGAGUUUA